GAACGCUGGCGGCGUGCCUAAUACAUGCAAGUCGAGCGAACAGACGAGGAGCUUGCUCCUCUGACGUUAGCGGCGGACGGGUGAGUAACACGUGGAUAACCUACCUAUAAGACUGGGAUAACUUCGGGAAACCGGAGCUAAUACCGGAUAAUAUAUUGAACCGCAUGGUUCAAUAGUGAAAGACGGUUUUGCUGUCACUUAUAGAUGGAUCCGCGCCGCAUUAGCUAGUUGGUAAGGUAACGGCUUACCAAGGCAACGAUGCGUAGCCGACCUGAGAGGGUGAUCGGCCACACUGGAACUGAGACACGGUCCAGACUCCUACGGGAGGCAGCAGUAGGGAAUCUUCCGCAAUGGGCGAAAGCUUGACGGAGCAACGCCGCGUGAGUGAUGAAGGUCUUCGGAUCGUAAAACUCUGUUAUUAGGGAAGAACAAAUGUGUAAGUAACUAUGCACGUCUUGACGGUACCUAAUCAGAAAGCCGCGGCUAACUACGUG
rnacentral:rRNA from 1 species